AUUCCCAAACAAGAGUGUCCUCUAAAUAUCAUCAUACGCGUGCCAGUUGCCACUCUUGUGAAAUAUUUAUACCUGGCACAUUGAUUCUUAUUGAACUCUCUGCCUUCCGCCCGCUAUGCUUUUCACGUGUUUUCACACACUCGAACCAAAUUAUCUAGCAAAUGCAAAAACCAUCAGCAUCUGCAGUUUCUGAGCGCAAUCGCUUUUUUCUGGCAGGGGAAAGGGCCAAAUGAUUGGUAGCUUCAAACAGCAAAAAGUUUCUGAGAAUCAGAAUAUUGAUAAUGGAGAUGAUAAAAUGAGCCAUUUACCUGAUUGCAUUCUUCAUCAUAUUCUUUCAUUCCUUCCAACCAAAGAGGCUGUAGCAACCUGCAUAUUAUCUAAGAGGUGGAAGUUCUUAUGGACAUCCGUUCCCAGCAUCGACUUUGACGACUCAUUGUUGUAUUCGAGUCGGGGUAACAUUUGGCACUCACAUGAGGUCAUUCAUUUCAUGAAUUUCGUCGAGAGGGUGCUUCUAUUAAGAGAUGCAUCGAGCAUAAAAAAAUUCCGCCUUUCUUGUCGUGUUUGCUUCAGUGCAUCUCACGUCCAUGAAUGGGUUUCAGCCGCUAUCGGGCACAACGUUCAAGAGCUUGACCUUUGUCUUUUUGUGGAUGAGCCUUUCAUGCUGCCUUCUUGUGUUUUUGACAAUGCAUCACUUAAGACUGUAAAAUUUGAAAUGAAUUGUAUCCUUCAACUACCUACUUAUAUUUCAUUCCCAUGCCUUCAAAAAUUGCAGCUUUGUCUUGUCACAUUUCCGAAGGGUAACUCGAUGCAGAAGUUAUUUUCUAGUUGUCCUUCUCUUGAAGAGUUGGCUGUAUUAGAUUGUGAAUGGAUGAAUCUUAGCAGGAUAACAAUUUCUAUUCCUUCUUUGAAGAGUUUGACCAUAGAUGAUUUGCCAUUUUGUUCUGUAGAUGAUCUACGUGGUUGUGAAAUCAAGAUUGAUGCAGGAAAUCUUACAUUUUUUAAGUACAGUGGUUAUCUUUCAAACGAAAUCCAUCUGUGUGAUCUUUCUUCGUCGGCCUUUGCAUCAAUUCACAUCCCCAUUAUUCGUGAAAGGCGGUGGGAAGUUGCAUGUCGUACUGUUAAGCUGUUCGGAGGGCUGAAAAAUAUAAGUAGCUUGAGAAUAUCCAGUGGCACCAUCAAGUGUCUCUUCCUUGCAGAUGAUGUGCUAGAUCAUAUUCCUAUGUUUCAGAACUUGACACAUUUGGAAUUAAGCAGAGGAUUUGAGAACAAUUUCAUUGGAGUGUUGUUGGAAUUUCUCCAAUUCUUGCCUAAGUUAGAAUCACUUAUGUUUUUGGAGGUAGAUAUCUGUAACCUAUGUGCAUGUUAUGGUACGCAGUAUUGGGCCCGACCGGACAAUGUAAUAUACAAGAUGGAGUUGGGACUGGUGAAGGUGAUUACAUGCCCAAAUCGGUACCUGAUUGUGUCCUCUCUACCCUCAAGAUGGUGAACUUUCAGAAGUUCCAAGGAUGUAAUCCUGAAAUGCGUUUACUCAAGUUUUUGCUAAAAAAUGCACUUGUCUUGGAGAAGAUAAACUUGUUCUGUUCCCAAAGUCUUUCAGGAGAUCUCGAGAACCAAAAGAAGAUCGGCAAUCAGUUGCGUGGACUUUCCAUAGGCUCCAAGCAUUGCACACUAGCGUUCAUGUGAAACUUUAAACAACCUUGCAAAUUAUUGCAACUGAAGACCUCUUGUUUGAGGGGAUUUUGCUGUGGACUGCUUUAUUUUUGACAACACCGAAGAAUUUUGCUUCUCUGAUGCUUUUGUAUAGUUAGUGGACUAGCUAGAAGAGGGUGAUACUUGUUGAAAUUUUGGAUGUUUCCAGUUAUUUAUACUAUCAGAUGAUGGAAACAUACAGUAAUCUUUAGACCAAAACUAUGGAAGGAGGAUACGGUUGGAUUCAAUUCAAACUACUGAUCUGGUUCAUGUUUUCUUCAGUAUCUGAUAUACUGACAGGAUAUGAGUACACAGAAAACAAUAUGAUGGGCUUGGUGCCAAAAUGGAUUUCGUUUUUGUUAA